CGUAUCAACCCCCGAACUAUCCACCGCGUUCGGCCCGAACACAUUCACUACCGGGUGGUCCCGAUCAGAACCCUCCGGCAAAAACGCCUUCCACAUCCAGUCCGUCCGCUCUACGUUCACCAGCGGCACACUCUUCAGUCUCGUCUCCGAUUCCGUCCACUCCUCUCCACCGAAAAACGGCUGAAUUGCUAAGAUUCCGACCACGUUCAGAUCCCGAAACUCGUGCCCGCUCGCUAUGAUCGCCAAGUGGUGCGCUAUGUUCCCGCCGGCGCUGUCCCCGGCCAGAAAGCACUGCCCGAGAUUCGCGCCCUCGAACAAGCUGCUUUGACUGUCGUCGAUGAACUUGAGGACGUCGAAACCGUCGUCGUACUGGCACGGAUACCGAUGCUCCGGCGCUAGGCGGUAGUUAACAGAGACGACGACGGCGGGGAGCUCGCGAGCGAGGCGCUGACAGAAGUCGUCUUGAAGCGGCGGACAUGAAGGCGAACCGCUGCCGUGGAAGAAGACAGUGAUGGGGAGCUUGGUGGUAGCAGCGGUGGGAGUGUAGAGGCGGAACCAGAGGUUGCGGAAAGGGUCGGCGACGACGACGACGACGACGACGACG
rnacentral:lncRNA from 1 species